CGGGGGGGCAAGCGUUGUUCGGAAUUACUGGGCGUAAAGGGCUCGUAGGCGGCCAACUAAGUCAAACGUGAAAUCCCUCGGCUUAACCGGGGAACUGCGCUUGAUACUGGAUGGCUUGAGAUUGGGAGAGGGAUGCGGAAUUCCAGGUGUAGCGGUGAAAUGCGUAGAUAUCUGGAGGAACACCGGUGGCGAAGGCGGCAUCCUGGACCAACACUGACGCUGAGUGAGCGAAAGCCAGGGGAGCAAACGGGAUUAGAUACCCGGUAGUCCUGGCCCUAAACGAUGAAUGCUUGGUGUGGCGGGUAUCGAUCCCUGCCGUGCCGAAGCCAACGCAUUAAGCAUUCCGCCUGGGGAGUAUGGUCGCAAGGCUG
rnacentral:rRNA from 1 species